AUGAACGCUGGCGGCGUGCCUAAUACCUGCAAGUCGAGCGAACAGAUGAGGAGCUUGCUCCUCUGACGUUAGCGGCGGACGGGUGAGUAACACGUGGAUAACCUACCUAUAAGACUGGGAUAACUUCGGGAAACCGGAGCUAAUACCGGAUAAUAUAUUGAACCGCAUGGUUCAAUAGUGAAAGACGGUUUUGCUGUCACUUAUAGAUGGAUCCGCGCCGCAUUAGCUAGUUGGUAAGGUAACGGCUUACCAAGGCAACGAUGCGUAGCCGACCUGAGAGGGUGAUCGGCCACACUGGAACUGAGACACGGUCCAGACUCCUACGGGAGGCAGCAGUAGGGAAUCUUCCGCAAUGGGCGAAAGCUUGACGGAGCAACGCCGCGUGAGUGAUGAAGGUCUUCGGAUCGUAAAACUCUGUUAUUAGGGAAGAACAAAUGUGUAAGUAACUAUGCACGUCUUGACGGUACCUAAUCAGAAAGCCACGGCUAACUACGUG
rnacentral:rRNA from 1 species